GACGAACGCUGGCGGCGUGCCUAAUACAUGCAAGCAGAACGCUGAAGGAGGAGCUUGCUUCUCUGGAUGAGUUGCGAACGGGUGAGUAACGCGUAGGUAACCUGCCUGGUAGCGGGGGAUAACUAUUGGAAACGAUAGCUAAUACCGCAUAAGAGUAGAUGUUGCAUGACAUUUGCUUAAAAGGUGCAAAUGCAUCACUACCAGAUGGACCUGCGUUGUAUUAGCUAGUUGGUGGGGUAACGGCUCACCAAGGCGACGAUACAUAGCCGACCUGAGAGGGUGAUCGGCCACACUGGGACUGAGACACGGCCCAGACUCCUACGGGAGGCAGCAGUAGGGAAUCUUCGGCAAUGGACGGAAGUCCGACCGAGCAACGCCGCGUGAGUGAAGAAGGUUUUCGGAUCGUAAAGCUCUGUUGUAAGAGAAGAACGAGUGUGAGAGUGGAAAGUUCACACUGUGACGGUAUCUUACCAGAAAGGGACGGCUAACUACGUGCCAGCAGCCGCGGUAAUACGUAGGUCCCGAGCGUUGUCCGGAUUUAUUGGGCGUAAAGCGAGCGCAGGCGGUUAGAUAAGUCUGAAGUUAAAGGCUGUGGCUUAGCCAUAGUAGGCUUUGGAAACUGUUUAACUUGAGUGCAAGAGGGGAGAGUGGAAUUCCAUGUGUAGCGGUGAAAUGCGUAGAUAUAUGGAGGAACACCGGUGGCGAAAGCGGCUCUCUGGCUUGUAACUGACGCUGAGGCUCGAAAGCGUGGGGAGCAAACAGG
rnacentral:rRNA from 1 species